rnacentral:rRNA from 1 species
GUGAAUCAUCGAGUCUUUGAACGCAUAUUGCGCUCUUUGGUAUUCCGAAGAGCACACCUGUUUGAGCAUCACCAGCAAGAUCAUUCCAACAACUUUGUUGUAUGAAAUGGAUUUGAGCCUUGGCUUGAACUUGUCCACGAGGCGAGUGUUCUGGCCUGGCUUUAAAUGAAGCAACAGCAGGAGUUUUACUCAGGCAAAGCGGAAUAGUUGACUCUUCGGAGUUAUUCCUUUGCUGAACGCCUUAAACUCGGGUUGUUUGAUGCAAGGAAACCCAAUUGUCAUUUGCAAUUGAAUCUUGAUCUCAAAUCAGGUGGGAUUACCGCUGAACUUAAGCAUAUCAAUAAGCGGAGG